rnacentral:sRNA from 1 species
CCUUAGCCCUGAUGGGAGCGGCAUCUUUUUGCUUUUUUCUUUAAAAAGCAAAAAAUAUAGCGGACAGCAGGAAUCAGC